ACUUAAAUUGAAGAGUUUGAUCAUGGCUCAGAUUGAACGCUGGCGGCAGGCCUAACACAUGCAAGUCGAGCGGUAGCACAGAGAGCUUGCUCUCGGGUGACGAGCGGCGGACGGGUGAGUAAUGUCUGGGAAACUGCCUGAUGGAGGGGGAUAACUACUGGAAACGGUAGCUAAUACCGCAUAACGUCGCAAGACCAAAGUGGGGGACCUUCGGGCCUCAUGCCAUCAGAUGUGCCCAGAUGGGAUUAGCUAGUAGGUGGGGUAACGGCUCACCUAGGCGACGAUCCCUAGCUGGUCUGAGAGGAUGACCAGCCACACUGGAACUGAGACACGGUCCAGACUCCUACGGGAGGCAGCAGUGGGGAAUAUUGCACAAUGGGCGCAAGCCUGAUGCAGCCAUGCCGCGUGUGUGAAGAAGGCCUUCGGGUUGUAAAGCACUUUCAGCGGGGAGGAAGGCGUUAAGGUUAAUAACCUUGGCGAUUGACGUUACCCGCAGAAGAAGCACCGGCUAACUCCGUGCCAGCAGCCGCGGUAAUACGGAGGGUGCAAGCGUUAAUCGGAAUUACUGGGCGUAAAGCGCACGCAGGCGGUCUGUCAAGUCGGAUGUGAAAUCCCCGGGCUCAACCUGGGAACUGCAUUCGAAACUGGCAGGCUAGAGUCUUGUAGAGGGGGGUAGAAUUCCAGGUGUAGCGGUGAAAUGCGUAGAGAUCUGGAGGAAUACCGGUGGCGAAGGCGGCCCCCUGGACAAAGACUGACGCUCAGGUGCGAAAGCGUGGGGAGCAAACAGGAUUAGAUACCCUGGUAGUCCACGCCGUAAACGAUGUCGAUUUGGAGGUUGUGCCCUUGAGGCGUGGCUUCCGGAGCUAACGCGUUAAAUCGACCGCCUGGGGAGUACGGCCGCAAGGUUAAAACUCAAAUGAAUUGACGGGGGCCCGCACAAGCGGUGGAGCAUGUGGUUUAAUUCGAUGCAACGCGAAGAACCUUACCUGGUCUUGACAUCCACAGAACUUAGCAGAGAUGCUUUGGUGCCUUCGGGAACUGUGAGACAGGUGCUGCAUGGCUGUCGUCAGCUCGUGUUGUGAAAUGUUGGGUUAAGUCCCGCAACGAGCGCAACCCUUAUCCUUUGUUGCCAGCGGUUCGGCCGGGAACUCAAAGGAGACUGCCAGUGAUAAACUGGAGGAAGGUGGGGAUGACGUCAAGUCAUCAUGGCCCUUACGACCAGGGCUACACACGUGCUACAAUGGCAUAUACAAAGAGAAGCGACCUCGCGAGAGCAAGCGGACCUCAUAAAGUAUGUCGUAGUCCGGAUUGGAGUCUGCAACUCGACUCCAUGAAGUCGGAAUCGCUAGUAAUCGUAGAUCAGAAUGCUACGGUGAAUACGUUCCCGGGCCUUGUACACACCGCCCGUCACACCAUGGGAGUGGGUUGCAAAAGAAGUAGGUAGCUUAACCUUCGGGAGGGCGCUUACCACUUUGUGAUUCAUGACUGGGGUGAAGUCGUAACAAGGUAACCGUAGGGGAACCUGCGGUUGGAUCACCUCCUUACCUUAAAGAA
rnacentral:rRNA from 1 species